CAAUCUGCUGCACCUUUGCUUCACUGGUCGCUCUGCUCGUCCUCCUCUUUCUUCCUGUGAGGUCUUGGUGUAAGGAAGACAACUAUAGAUCACUUUCAGAGGUACUGUAUGUCCAACAAGGCUAGAAUUACACAAACAAGUGAGUUACUGUACAUCCACAUUUUCAGACCUGAUCUCACAGCUGGCACCUUGUCUUUCAGGCUAACACAGAGUGCUGUAAGGACGUAAGGAGGUUUGAUGACAUCGAUUAUGACAGCUUUGUGAGUCUGAUGGGAAGGAGAAGUACCGCUCAAACAAACGGGCAAAGAAAUGCCCCAAUGUCAAGAAAAAGAUCACACAUGGAUCACAUCCUGGCUGAUCUGCUGUUGCGGAGGACAAGU